AUGGCGGCGCCCCGCGAGCUGGACCUCUCCGACGAGGUCGAGGGCGUGAUGGACGGCACCAUCGACUUCGUCUUCCGCCUCGUCGGCGACCCCAUCCCCCUCCUACCCUCCGCCUCCGCCCCGCUCCCCCUCUUCGACCUCCAGUCCCCUCCCGCGCGCCCGCUCGCCGUCUCCGACCUCCACGCCGCCGUCUUCCUCGCUCACCCCAACGGGUUUAUCGCCGCGAGGACGAAGGCGUUGAUCGAGGCCAGCAAGGAGGCCAGGGAGAAGGGCAAGGCGAGCACCCGCUGCGCCCAGGACUGCUGCGUCACCGACGUGCCCCUCCCCGGCGUCACUCUCCUAGCGCUCUCCCGCGACCAGUCCGUGCUAGCUGCCUGCACGGGCAGUGAGAUCCAGUUCUUCUCGGCUACUUCCUUGCUCACUGAUAAGGAUAUCAAGCCGUCAUCAUCAUGUAGCAUGGGACGAUCUGGCACUGUCAAAGAUUUCAAAUGGCUAGAUAAUGCCUCUAUUGUACUCUCAAAUGGUGGAUUGCUAUCUCAUGGGAGUUUGGGGCAAGGCCUGAAGGAUGUUGAUGCUGUUGACUGUUCCAAGGACGGGAACCAUAUUGCUGUGGCAAGAAAGAAUUCACUCAGGAUAUUAACACCAGAUUUGAAGGAAACAUGUUGCAUGGCCCUCUUGUUUCAGUUGUGGCCUGAUAGUGAUUCAGAGGGCACUGACAUCAAAGUGGAUUCCAUCGGGUGGGUUCGCGAUGAUAGCAUUGUUGUCGGUUGUGUUCGAUUGAAUGAAGAAAGCAAUGAAGAGGAUUAUCUGGUAAAAGUUAUAAGAAGUGGAGGAGAUACAUUUUUCGAGAGCUCAAGCAAGCCAGUUGUUCUUAGGUGUGAUGUUUCCAGAGGCAUAAGGAAUGAUAUUUUACCAUCUGGAGUUGGACCAAAUCUGCUAUUGGGCUAUCUGCAUCGCUGGGAUCUCCUGGUUGUUACAAAUAAAAAGAGCACUGAUGACCACAUUUCUCUUUUGAAAUGGCCGUCCAGAACUGAUGAGGAAAGAACUGUGGUAUACCUCGAAAUGGUGGAGGAUAGAUAUAGUCCUAGAAUUGAUCUGCAAGAAAAUGACGAUGACAAUGUUAUAUUGGGGUUUGGUGUGGAGAAUGUUUCAUUAUUUCAGAAGAUCACAGUACUGGUUGGACCUGAACAGAAGGAGGUUGCCCCUCAACAUCUUCUACUUUGUUUGACUAGUGAAGGGAAACUAAUUAUUUAUUAUCUUGCCAGGAUUUCUGACCCUUCCGAUUUACCUCAAACAAGUCUGUCUACCAUUGAGGAUAGUAAUGUGGAUAAACAAAUUUCUCCUGCAACUGUGUCUAAUAAGGAUCUGACUCCAAGUGUUACAAGUUCAAGCGCCAAGAGUCUGCUCGCAAGACCAGGGACGAUGGCCACGCACGACAGCAGCAAGGCGAAGAAAACAAGACCGGAGGAAUCUUGUAGAAAAUUGUUAAGCGCCGUCCUGGAAAAAUACAAUGUUGAGUGUGAAAAUUACGAUGAUGACCUCAUUAUCUAUUCUAAAGACUCUGAUGUUAUAUUGAGAAUUGAGAAGACGCUGAGUGCACCUCCUGAUUGCGAUAAACCAACCGACUACAACAAAUUGAUCGAAGAGCUGCAAACGGUAACCAAGAGAAUGGUUGCACGGAAAUAUGCACGUGAGAGAGAUGUUCUGGUGAAGAAUUUGCUGUUGGCAAUAGAUAAGAUCUCUCACUUUGAGUCAGAUAUACCGUUUGUCGACAAGCAAAAUAAGGAUGCAGCUUUGCAAGCAAAAGACUGGCUUUUGAACAAGCAGAGGGAGCAGAAGUCGGUCUCAAUAUAUGAAGAUGCUGUCCUAAAGUGUACUGCUUUAGACAACUGGAUUAAGAGGCUAGAAUUAGAUCAAACAACUGAAGGGUCAUUACUACAGGAUUCUUCGACGUCUUCAAGUGGAUACGAGGAGUUGCCAGAGGGGAGUUCGGUUGAGGAACAAACGAAUAAAUUUCCCCCAAGAUCAGUUCCUACAGGGGAGACUCUUCUUGAAAUUUUUAGAGUAGAGACAAACUUGGCCUUGAUAAAGACCAUCCUGGUCUAUGAUUAUAAAGGUGCUGCAUUAGUCUAUAAAUCUAAGCAAGGGGAUAAGAGCCGAUUUCGUAGAAGGUGUUCCAAUUGGCUGUCAAAACAUACCAAGAAAACCCGUUCUGAUUUCAUAGAUUCGCUCACUCUCACAGGCCCGACUCGGCCAAUGACUGCUGACGGAGAGUGCUGGGUCAUUAAACUCGACGUGCCGGCUGAGUCAAGUUUUGGGGUCGAGGACCCUGAAUUGUGUGACAAACUUUUCAAAGCAACAUUGCCACUGAGUUCUGAUUACAUUGACAGGCCCCGAUGCAGCUUAUUGUCUAUCCGAGGUGGAGUUGUAAAUAUCUCGUCCAUUACAUUUAGCAACGCCCUUCGUUGCACUGUCAGGUUUAUUCUUGAUCGUCGUGUCGAUGUCAGUGCUAAACAGUUUUAUAUCCGAGGUGAACUUACAUUGUCAGUUGAAGACUAUGAUGUGAAGUUCACGCUUUUUAGAAGUCAAUUCCCAAAAGUCACUGCACGCAUUCUUAGUGAGACAAAGGUUGAAAUUCCAUUACUUAAGGAUGUCCUCUCCCUUCCUGUUGGAGCCCGGGUGCAUGUAGGGGGUAUUCUGAAAUUGAGAAGAGGGAAAGUGCUUGUUGAUGACCAUCUUAUCCUUGACAAGGAGACAGUAGAGGCUGAAUGGCCUGUGAUUCCAUUGAAUGGGGUUGCUUCUCCUAGUCACCUGAAGGCUUGCUUAUCGAUUGCAUUAUGUGACUACAUCUAG
rnacentral:rRNA from 1 species